rnacentral:rRNA from 1 species
CAUACUUGAAAUACCACCCUUGCAAUGUUUUUUGUCUAACACCAUGCUUAAGUGGUGAACCAUGCAUGUGAGGCAGUUUGACUGGGGCGGUCGCCUCCUAAAGUGUAACGGAGGCGUGCGAAGGUAAACUCAAUGAUGAUCGGAAACCAUCUGAAGAGCGUAAUGGUAUAUGUUUGCCUGACUGUGAGAGCCACAACUCGAACAGAGACGAAAGUCGGCCAUAAUGAUCCACAAGUGCCGCGUGGAAGGGCUUGUGCUUAACGAAUCAAAGCUACGCUAGGGAUAACAGGCUAAUAUUACCUAAGAGCCCUUAUCGACGGUAAUGUUUGGCACCUCGAUGUUGACUGAUUCCAUCCUGGAGCUGAAGAAGGUUCCAAGGGUUGGGCUGUUCGCCCAUGAAAGGAGUACCUGAGUUGAGUUUAGAACGUCGUGAGACAGUUUGGAUUCUACCUGGGGUGCGCGUAAUAGAAUUGAGGAAACUAUCCGGAAGUACGAGAGGACCCCAGAUAUAACGCCACUGGUGACGAAUUGUUUGGCCACAAGCAUGUUUGGUAGCUACGCGUUGACAGGAUAAUUGCUGAAAGCAUAUGAAGCAAGAAACUUUUUCCAAGACAAGUUCUUCUAUUAGUGAAGUGACUGGAGUAGCGUUCAAGUCUAGGACGUUGAUCGGCGCAGUGUUUAGUCUCCGUAAGGA